CCUACGGGAGACAGCAGUGGGGAAUAUUGCACAAUGGGGGAAACCCUGAUGCAGCGACGCCGCGUGAGUGAAGAAGUAAUUCGUUAUGUAAAGCUCUAUCAGCAGGGAAGAAAAUGACGGUACCUGAGUAAGAAGCCCCGGCUAACUACGUGCCAGCAGCCGCGGUAAUACGGAGGGGGCAAGCGUUAUCCGGAUUUACUGGGUGUAAAGGGAGCGUAGACGGCAGUGCAAGUCUGGAGUGAAAGGCGGGGGCUCAACCCCCGGACUGCUCUUGAAACUGUACGGCUGGAGUGCAGGAGAGGUAAGUGGAAUUCCUAGUGUAGCGGUGAAAUGCGUAGAUAUUAGGAGGAACACCAGUGGCGAAGGCGGCUUACUGGACUGUAACUGACGUUGAGGCUCGAAAGCGUGGGUAGCAAACAGGAUUAGAUACCCCUGUAGUC
rnacentral:rRNA from 1 species